rnacentral:snRNA from 1 species
UCCGAAAAAUUUAACUCUCCUUC